rnacentral:rRNA from 1 species
AUGGAGGACGGCGACGAGCUCGACAGGUACGCCGGCAAGCUCAACGGCAUGUCGGCAAGGUAUGCGGUGCUCGGAGCUACGCUGGAUGUCGCCGCCAUGGUGAAAAAACAGCUCGAUACUGUGCCGGACCGGCUGUACGCCGCAGUUGCCGGAAUCGAGCAAUUUUGCGACAUUGAGGAGAUGGCAUCCGUGGAGGUGCUUGGGCAACUAAAGACUUUUGAAGAGCGAACGCGGCUGUGCGAGCAGGCCGGCGGGGAGCGUGCUCACCACUGCUCAGUGUGCGGCGCAACAGCAUCGGCGAGGCGGAAGCGGCUUCGACCACAACGACGACGGCGCUAG